rnacentral:rRNA from 1 species
AUACGUAGGGUGCUAGAGUUGUCCGGAUUUACUGGGUGUAAAGGGUGCUCAGGUGGGUUUGUAAGUCAGAGGUGAAAUCCCAAAGCUUAACUUUGGAGCUGCCUUUGAUACUGCAAGUCUGGAGUUUGAGAGAGGGCAAUGGAAUAUCUGGUGUAGCAGUGAAAUGCGUAGAUAUCAGAUAGAACACCAAUGGCGAAGGCAGUUGCCUGGCUCAAAACUGACGCUAAAGCACGAAAGUGUGGGGAGCAAACAGGAUUAGAUACCCUGGUAGUCCACACCCUAAACGAUGAAUACUAGAUGUUGGUCCUUUUUAGGAUCAGUAUCCAAGCUAACGCAUUAAGUAUUCCACCUGGGAAGUACAAUCGCAAGGUUGAA